GAUGAACGCUGGCGGCGUGCCUAAUACAUGCAAGUCGAACGCACAGACGCGGAUCUUGCUCCCCUGACGUUGGCUACGGCCGGGUGAGUAACCCGUAGAUAACCUACCUCUACGGCUGAGGUAACCUCGUACCACCUGUGCUAAUACCGGGUAAUAUAUUUAACCUGAAGGUUCACUCGUGAAUGACGGUUUUGCUGUCACUUUUAGAUGGCUCCGAGCCGCAUUAGAUAGUUGGUAAGGUAACGGCUUACCACGGCAACGAUACGUAGCCGACAUGGGAGGGUGAUGGGGCAGACUUGAGCUGAGACACGGUCACGACGCCUACGGGAGGCAGCAGUAGGGAAUCCUGGGCGAAGGGGGAAAGCAUGACGGAGCAACGGCGCGUGAGUGAUGAAGGUCUUCGAAGCGUAAGACGCUGUUAUUAGGGAAGAAAAAAUGUGUAAGUAACGAUGAACGUAUUGACGGUACCUGAUCAGAAAGCAACGGCUAACUACGUG
rnacentral:rRNA from 1 species